UGCUCAGGUGAUUAAAAGGGAAUCAGGUGCAAGUCCUGAACAGUCCCGCUGCUGUAAUUCUCGUUGAUUCCGGACAUUCAUGUCACUGGGAAAAUCGAAAGGCUCGUUUCGAUUAUGCUGGGAAGACGUCCGAAAGAGGAGAGAUAAGUCAGAAGACCUGCCGUACAUUUU
rnacentral:ncRNA from 1 species